rfam:Salmo salar isolate Sally breed double haploid chromosome ssa13, whole genome shotgun sequence.
UGCACGAAUGACUGUUAGUCGCUUUAGAUAAAAGCGUCUGCUAAAUGGUAUUUA